GAUGAACGCUGGCGGCGUGCCUAAUACAUGCAAGUAGAACGCUGAAGCUUGGUGCUUGCACCGAGCGGAUGAGUUGCGAACGGGUGAGUAACGCGUAGGUAACCUGCCUCUUAGCGGGGGAUAACUAUUGGAAACGAUAGCUAAUACCGCAUAAAAGUCGAUAUCGCAUGAUAUUGAUUUGAAAGGUGCAAAUGCAUCACUAAGAGAUGGACCUGCGUUGUAUUAGCUAGUUGGUGAGGUAACGGCUCACCAAGGCGACGAUACAUAGCCGACCUGAGAGGGUGAUCGGCCACACUGGGACUGAGACACGGCCCAGACUCCUACGGGAGGCAGCAGUAGGGAAUCUUCGGCAAUGGGGGCAACCCUGACCGAGCAACGCCGCGUGAGUGAAGAAGGGUUUCGGAUCGUAAAGCUCUGUUGUAAGAGAAGAACGAGUGUGAGAGUGGAAAGUUCACACUGUGACGGUAACUGACCAGAAAGGGACGGCUAACUACGUG
rnacentral:rRNA from 1 species